UAAGGAGCUUGCUCCUUUGACGUUAGCGGCGGACGGGUGAGUAACACGUGGGUAACCUACCUAUAAGACUGGGAUAACUUCGGGAAACCGGAGCUAAUACCGGAUAACAUUUGGAACCGCAUGGUUCUAAAGUGAAAGAUGGUUUUGCUAUCACUUAUAGAUGGACCCGCGCCGUAUUAGCUAGUUGGUAAGGUAACGGCUUACCAAGGCGACGAUACGUAGCCGACCUGAGAGGGUGAUCGGCCACACUGGAACUGAGACACGGUCCAGACUCCUACGGGAGGCAGCAGUAGGGAAUCUUCCGCAAUGGGCGAAAGCCUGACGGAGCAACGCCGCGUGAGUGAUGAAGGGUUUCGGCUCGUAAAACUCUGUUAUUAGGGAAGAACAAAUGUGUAAGUAACUGUGCACGUCUUGACGGUACCUAAUCAGAAAGCCACGGCUAACUACGUGCCAGCAGCCGCGGUAAUACGUAGGUGGCAAGCGUUAUCCGGAAUUAUUGGGCGUAAAGCGCGCGUAGGCGGUUUCUUAAGUCUGAUGUGAAAGCCCACGGCUCAACCGUGGAGGGUCAUUGGAAACUGGGAAACUUGAGUGCAGAAGAGGAAAGUGGAAUUCCAUGUGUAGCGGUGAAAUGCGCAGAGAUAUGGAGGAACACCAGUGGCGAAGGCGACUUUCUGGUCUGUAACUGACGCUGAUGUGCGAAAGCGUGGGGAUCAAACAGGAUUAGAUACCCUGGUAGUCCACGCCGUAAACGAUGAGUGCUAAGUGUUAGGGGGUUUCCGCCCCUUAGUGCUGCAGCUAACGCAUUAAGCACUCCGCCUGGGGAGUACGACCGCAAGGUUGAAACUCAAAGGAAUUGACGGGGACCCGCACAAGCGGUGGAGCAUGUGGUUUAAUUCGAAGCAACGCGAAGAACCUUACCAAAUCUUGACAUCCUUUGAAAACUCUAGAGAUAGAGCUUUCCCCUUCGGGGGACAAAGUGACAGGUGGUGCAUGGUUGUCGUCAGCUCGUGUCGUGAGAUGUUGGGUUAAGUCCCGCAACGAGCGCAACCCUUAAGCUUAGUUGCCAUCAUUAAGUUGGGCACUCUAGGUUGACUGCCGGUGACAAACCGGAGGAAGGUGGGGAUGACGUCAAAUCAUCAUGCCCCUUAUGAUUUGGGCUACACACGUGCUACAAUGGACAAUACAAAGGGCAGCUAAACCGCGAGGUCAUGCAAAUCCCAUAAAGUUGUUCUCAGUUCGGAUUGUAGUCUGCAACUCGACUACAUGAAGCUGGAAUCGCUAGUAAUCGUAGAUCAGCAUGCUACGGUGAAUACGUUCCCGGGUCUUGUACACACCGCCCGUCACACCACGAGAGUUUGUAACACCCGAAGCCGGUGGAGUAACCAUUUAUGGAGCUAGCCG
rnacentral:rRNA from 1 species